AUAAUCAAGUAGUGAUCCUGCAGAGCUCUUUAACCACAUCGGAGCUAAAGUGAACUGGUCAUAUCGGGAAACACUGUGCAAAACUUACAUUCGACGGACGGAACGGACUGACUCUGGAAAUCACAUCACAAUAAGUCAUGCCACGGGGAAAACGCCGAGCUGCAGAUACUAUUAGCGACAACAUGGAUCAUGGUCAACCGAAGAGGGCCCGAACCAGCUACACCAGCAUACCCACACAACAGAGCAGCAGGUGAGUGGAGGAAAAUAGG
rnacentral:sRNA from 1 species